CCCGGCUUAACCGGGGAGGGUCAUUUGGAAACUGGGGAACUUGAGUGCAGAAGAGGAGAGUGGAAUUCCACGUGUAGCGGUGAAAUGCGUAGAGAUGUGGAGGAACACCAGUGGCGAAGGCGACUCUCUGGUCUGUAACUGACGCUGAGGAGCGAAAGCGUGGGGAGCGAACAGGAUUAGAUACCCUGGUAGUCCACGCCGUAAACGAUGAGUGCUAAGUGUUAGGGGGUUUCCGCCCCUUAGUGCUGCAGCUAACGCAUUAAGCACUCCGCCUGGGGAGUACGGUCGCAAGACUGAAACUCAAAGGAAUUGACGGGGGCCCGCACAAGCGGUGGAGCAUGUGGUUUAAUUCGAAGCAACGCGAAGAACCUUACCAGGUCUUGACAUCCUCUGACAAUCCUAGAGAUAGGACGUCCCCUUCGGGGGCAGAGUGACAGGUGGUGCAUGGUUGUCGUCAGCUCGUGUCGUGAGAUGUUGGGUUAAGUCCCGCAACGAGCGCAACCCUUGAUCUUAGUUGCCAGCAUUCAGUUGGGCACUCUAAGGUGACUGCCGGUGACAAACCGGAGGAAGGUGGGGAUGACGUCAAAUCAUCAUGCCCCUUAUGACCUGGGCUACACACG
rnacentral:rRNA from 1 species